CUGUCUAUUUCGUGCUUCUCCUAAAAGAGUGAUCUUAAGACCCAAUCAUCAUGAGAAUGUUUCUAGCUCUCUUCCUUCUCUUGGCCUUGACCACAUCUUCAAAUUUGGUUACCGGAUGUGUCUAUCCUUCAAGCGCUAGCUCUCCAGGGUCGCUUCCUUCAACUACACCACCACCGGGAACAAA